rnacentral:rRNA from 1 species
CCUACGGGAGGCAGCAGUGGGGAAUUUUGGACAAUGGGCGCAAGCCUGAUCCAGCAAUGCCGCGUGCAGGAUGAAGGCCUUCGGGUUGUAAACUGCUUUUGUACGGAGCGAAACGGUCUACUCUAAUACAGUGGGCUAAUGACGGUACCGUAAGAAUAAGCACCGGCUAACUACGUGCCAGCAGCCGCGGUAAUACGUAGGGUGCGAGCGUUAAUCGGAAUUACUGGGCGUAAAGCGUGCGCAGGCGGUUAUAUAAGACAGAUGUGAAAUCCCCGGGCUCAACCUGGGACCUGCAUUUGUGACUGUAUAGCUAGAGUGCGGCAGAGGGGGAUGGAAUUCCGCGUGUAGCAGUGAAAUGCGUAGAUAUGCGGAGGAACACCGAUGGCGAAGGCAAUCCCCUGGGCCUGCACUGACGCUCAUGCACGAAAGCGUGGGGAGCAAACAGGAUUAGAUACCCUGGUAGUCCACGCCCUAAACGAUGUCAACUGGUUGUUGGGUCUUCACUGACUCAGUAACGAAGCUAACGCGUGAAGUUGACCGCCUGGGGAGUACGGCCGCGAAGGUUGAAACCUUAAAGGAAUUGACGGGCUGAGACGNGCGAGGCGACGACGAGGGAGAGG